CUAAUUUCUAGGUGAUAGUGGUUCUAACACUCGCAGGCAUCGCUCUGUCCAACCCUGAACCUGAAGCAGGCGGAGGCUACGGCCAUGGCGGAGGAAAACAUGGCUACGGAGAACCUCUGCCAUACUACUACGGAUACCACGUGAGCGGUGACUACAAGGGACCCCACUUCCACCACGACGAGAAGUCUGACGGAAAGGCUGUUUACGGAUCCUACACCGUCGCUCUCCCCGACGGACGCAAACAACACGUGCAGUACUCGGCCGACCACUACAAAGGCUUCGUCGCCCACGUCAGCUACAAAGGGAAGGCUCAACAUCCAUCCUAUUACGGACCUGCCGUCGUUUUCGAUCAUAAAGGACAUGGAUACCAUUGAAGUCUGGAAUUGCUUUUUUCAGAAUCGUAUUUACCUCGACUCGAACAUUUUCGAUUAUAAUCUUAUCGAAUAAAACAGUUACGUCCAAAUUUCCUCAUUUCAUUUCUCUAUUUCUCUUAUAACGCAUAACCUUAUUCCCUGUCAUCC